UAAGUGAAAUAGUAGCCAGGCACCAAAAUGCAGUUUGGUCCAUUCCCAGUCUUGUUUUACGUUUACCUCUUUACCUCAAAACCGCUCUGUCUUAACACCGAUAGUGAUUAAGCCAUCCCAACGGAAACAAACAGCCACAAUUCCAGCGUUUUUCACCAACAUUUCACAGGAGCACCACAAAUUAGGAUUUUCGAUCAUCCGACUGGUCGGUAGCAAUAACGAUCAAGCGAUGCUUCUGCCAAAGGGUUUGACUCCAAUUCAACAGCCGCAACUAGUGCAAAUUCACAGGUGCAAACGAUGCAAGCCAAUCAGGAUCAAACGCAGAUGACCAUUCGUCGCAGGAACAACCAAAAACUAGAAUUAUCAUCACCCAGAUUCCGUAGUAGAUACAGCAACGGCACCUUCAGGUACAACAGCAGUAUACAAUACAGUCCCAAGCAGCAAAAACAUCACAAUCAGGAGGAACCACUGCAGCAGCCGCAACAAGAUUGAAUUGGCCACAAAUCGAUCAACAGCAGUAACGGAACAUACCCGGUCAACCGUAAACACAACAGCAAGGUGCUCGGCGGAAGGGAUUUCUGUAUUUGUGCGUGUGUAUGACUCGUUUUUUGAAAAAAGCGCUUUCCUUCGAUUCUCUGGCACCCUAGCGGGGAAAUCCAUUACCAUUAAGUUGAACGAGAACCAGGAAUGAGUCCUUCGGGGAGACGACGCGUAAUGGUUGAUGUUGGUGGAAUUGCAGAUCACGCUCUGAAAAUAUCGCAAACUAUAUCCCCCUAAGCAGCACGCAACCCCGACACGAAAGGUGGUACUCAAAGCCCCUGUAAAACAACGACAGCCCGUUAAUAUUUAG